CUCAGGUGCAUGCAAUGCACCUGAGUAACUGGAAGGGGUAGAGCCAGGUUUCAUCCCUUCCCAGACCUCAUUUAAGGGUUGGCAGUGGAGGCAACAGUACCUUGCUGGAGAUCUCUGCCUACCUGAGUUCUUCUGAAGAAGCAAGGGACUGCUGGAUUGAGUGAACGUGGACUUCUGCAGUAUGAUCCUUUGCAGUCACUCGGGGUUCCAGUGCUGAGUGCCUUCAACUGGAUUGAAAGCUGUGCCAUUUGCUGAAACUAAACAGCUCCUGCAGCCUGUCAAAAAGACCCCUGGCUGGUGUUUACCGGUCUGACCAUCUGUCUAUCUGUGUGUGAGCCCAUUCUCGAUUCUGGAGCUGAAGGGGAUGAAAGACUGCCUUGUGCUGGAUGCUGUGAGUGGCAGCUCCUGGUGAUGCUUUUGCUUAACCCCAGGGUGAUGUGACUGUGCAGUGAGGAUAGGACCAGCUCCUCUCAGCUCCAGUGAAGUGUCCUUGGAAUCACUGAGUGCUCUGCAGACUACGUACAACAGCGAUCAUUCAGCCACAGCUAAAACACAGCUACCUCUGGGGUGGACUGUGACAGAUGCUUAAUAAUGUCUGGAAACCUAGCGAAAGCAUGUACAGAAGGAGGAAAAGAUAAUGCUUU